rnacentral:lncRNA from 1 species
CUAAUACAGUCCACCAGACACUGUACUCAGGCACCGUAAGCAUCCUUAAGUCCUAGAAGAACGGAAUUUGAAAGUGUGUCUUGUAGCCAGCUGUACAGCCGACUGUGGUGAGAACAGGGAUGGAUAGAGUUCUGGUAUAAUAGGUUAGAAACAUCCCAGGGUCUCUCCUGACAUCUGGCUGACUUCCUGUAAAAGGUUUCUUCUGUUUUUUUCUUAUCUUCCCAGGCAGGGUGUACUUCUGAACUGCACGACCCUGCCAGGCAUACCCUUGCUGUGCUGUGUGGUCUGUGCUGAUACCCAUCUUCCUGGACCUCUCUCUCUCUCUCUCGAAAGUGGUCUGUAUUGGUCGUGGAGGCUUGCUGGGAAUCCUAAGUGAGACCCUGCUCUUCAAGUCAACCUCCCUGAGUCUCUGUGUGUAGAUUAAGCGCAGUGACCGUUUCUUAGUUUUUGUUUUUCACUUGGUCCACCGGAGCUGCACUGCUUCAUCCCUGUUCUGUCUACACUCCCCGGCUUGAGCUACCCUGAUUCUUGCCUUUCCUCCACAGGCACACUUUCUCUUCUACUCUGUAAACAUGAGAUGCUCUGGAUUUCUUGCUUAGGUUUUUGUGUUAUCUUCUGUGAUGAUUUCAUCCAGGCCUGCAGCUGUGAAGAUCUUCUUUCCAGUAGCCACUCCCAAGUUUAUAGGCCAUUGCAGGCCAGGGCUCUCUCUCCAGAACUGAAUGGUUUCUCAGGACAGAGCCCAGCUUAAGAGAAUCUUGGACAUCAUUUAGUUCAAGCUCCCGCUAACAUCAACCAUCUCUGAAGGUUCUUGAAUAGAGGAUCAGCCCCAGCUGAAAUCCACCUUCAGUCAUGGAGAACUGGAUACCUGGCCCACCCUCACCCAGGAGGUGGUAAGAGUUCUUUACACCCCACCGUCUGUCUUACCAAACCAUGAGAGUCGUACUCAGGAACUAAAGUUGACAUUUGACUCCCCAGAUUUCCACAGCUAAGCUAUCUCAGUGGUUCCUGGAUUCCUUACCAACUUGGUCAUAUUCCUCAAGCACAUUUGAAAUAAAAGUGUCAGACAGUGGUGGCCCA